GAUGAACGCUGGCGGCGUGCCUAAUACAUGCAAGUCGAGCGGACGGACGCUGCUUUUGCUUCUCUUCUGUUAGGGACGGGCGUGUGAUUCACACGUGUAUACCCUCCCUAUCAGACUGAGAUCCCUACGCGAACCCGGAUCUCAUAUCCGAUAAUAUUUUGAACCUCGUGGUUCAUCGGUCAUCGCCGUUCUUGCUGUCCCUAGUAGAUGUAUCCUGGCUGCAUUAGCUAGUUGGUAAGGUAACGGCUUACCAAGGCAACGCUGCAUAGCCGACCUGAGAGGGUGAUCGGCCACACUGGAACUGAGACACGGUCCAGACUCCUACGGGAGGCAGCAGUAGGGAAUCUUCGGCAAUGGGCGAAAGCCUGACGGAGCAAGGCCGCGUGAGUGAUGAAGGUCUUCGGAUCGUAAAGCACUGUUAGUAGGGAAGAACAGAUGUGUGAGUAAACGUGGACAUCUUGACGGUACCAAAACAAAAAGCAACGGCUAACUACGUG
rnacentral:rRNA from 1 species